UACGUAGGUGGCAAGCGUUGUCCGGAUUUAUUGGGCUUAAAGGGUGCGUAGGCGGCUUUAUAAGUCAGUGCUGAAAUAUCCCGGCUUAACCGGGAGGGUGGCAUUGACACUGCAGAGCUUGAGUGAAGUCGAGGUAGGCGGAAUUGACGGUGUAGCGGUGAAAUGCUUAGAUAUCGUCAAGAACACCGAUAGUGAAGACAGCUUACUAGGCUUAGAUUGACGCUGAGGCACGAAAGUGUGGGGAUCAAACAGG
rnacentral:rRNA from 1 species